rnacentral:rRNA from 1 species
GGUUUAAUUCGAAGCAACGCGAAGAACCUUACCAGGUCUUGACAUCCCGAUGCUAUUUCUAGAGAUAGAAAGUUACUUCGGUACAUCGGUGACAGGUGGUGCAUGGUUGUCGUCAGCUCGUGUCGUGAGAUGUUGGGUUAAGUCCCGCAACGAGCGCAACCCCUAUUGUUAGUUGCCAUCAUUCAGUUGGGCACUCUAGCGAGACUGCCGGUAAUAAACCGGAGGAAGGUGGGAUGACGUCAAAUCAUCAUGCCCCUUAUGACCUGGGCUACACACGUGCUACAAUGGUUGGUACAACGAGUUGCGAGUCGGUGACGGCGAGCUAAUCUCUUAAAGCCAAUCUCAGUUCGGAUUGUAGGCUGCAACUCGCCUACAUGAAGUCGGAAUCGCUAGUAAUCGCGGAUCAGCACGCCGCGGUGAAUACGUUCCCGGGCCUU